UAACUGGGUAGGUGACUUGGUGGGCAG
rnacentral:piRNA from 1 species